AUACAAAAAAGAAGAAAAAAAUAUAUAUAUAUAAAGUAAACUAGUUAAAAAACGUUAAAAAAGAAAAGGGUAAAGGUUAAAAAAAAUUAGCAGAAGAAGAGAUAAAGAAAAAAAUUGAAAAAGAAAAAGAAAUUAAAUUAACUGCAAGACUAAAGAAUCAUGGGGAGAAAGCCAUGAGUUCCGUGCUUUGCUUUCUCCUCUUCUGGAAUUCCGCUGCUCUCCUUUGUAUUGAAACUGCACUCCUUGGAAGGUGAACUUGGUCCUGGCUGGAUUUCUUGUUGAUCUUCUAGGGGAGGGGCCUGUUGUAGUGAUUCUCAAGUGUCUUUGCCCCAGGCGGAAUUGCACUGCCCUUACCAGGGGCCUGGCUGAGUAAUCUGCUCGGGUUCACUUUCGGGAGCUUUUGUUCCCUGAGUGCUUUCUGUAGAUUUCCGGAGGACAGGAAUGAAAAUAACGGCCUCCUGGUCUCUGGCCGGGAGGAGCUGAGAGCUUGGGGCCCCACUCCUCAGUGCGCCCUCAGAGAAGAGCUCCCAUUUACUCCGGUCUCCCUGGCCUCCGGCCGCGCUCUGAGCUCACCGAGCCUGCACUGGUUCAAGGAGAGAGAACACAAGCUGGAGGAGCAGAAGGAGAGAGAGAGAGAAUCCCAGACUGACUCAGCACUGACCAUAGAGCCUGACUCGUGGCUCCAUCUCAUGACCCUGAGAUCAUGACCUGGGUUGAAACGAAGAGUCGGAGGCCCACCUAACUGCACCAGCCAGGUGCCGCUCAAAAUAGAAGGAGUCCUUUAAGCAGAUUUUUAAAUGUCGGUAUUGUCAGCUGACCUUUUGGUGCCCUGUCUGGUCAUCCGAGAACACGUUAGAUUUAACACUCCUUGAGGAAUAAUCCAUCGUUAAAAUUCUGUGACUGAUUAUCUUUUUACUCAACAGAUGGACUUUUGUCCAUUGAUUUAGAACCAUGUUCACAUUAUUAAAUUCAAUUAAACAAACAGUUUGGUCCACAGUUCCCUUUUCGUCUCACUGUGCACUUCCCCACAUAUAAAUGGCAUGUCGAUAUUUCAACUGGGAUGUGAAUUAUGGCCUAUCGUGGACUAGUAGCAAAUAGUCAGGCUAUUCCUAUCUUAAUCCAUACCCUUUAUGUGAUUCAGUAAUUCACCAGUGAAGAACCACUGCUGCUUGGCCCUGAUUUCUCCCCAGAUCUGAGGGGACACUGAACAGAUUGAACCUUGUC
rnacentral:lncRNA from 1 species